UACGUAGGGGGCAAGCGUUAUCCGGAUUUACUGGGUGUAAAGGGAGCGUAGACGGCGCGGCAAGUCUGAAGUGAAAGGCAGGGGCUUAACCCCUGAACUGCUUUGGAAACUGGCAGUCUCGAGUUGGAGAGAAGUACGCGGAAUGCGCGGUGUAGCGGUGAAAUGCAUAGAUAUCGCGCAGAACUCCGAUUGCGAAGGCAGCGUACCGGCGCCACACUGACGCUGAGGCACGAAAGCGUGGGGAUCGAACAGG
rnacentral:rRNA from 1 species